rnacentral:rRNA from 1 species
UACAGAGGGUGCAAGCGUUGUUCGGAAUUAUUGGGCGUAAAGCGCGUGUAGGCGGCUUUGCAAGUCGGGUGUGAAAGCCCUCAGCUUAACUGAGGAAGUGCGCCCGAAACUGCAUUGCUUGAGUGCCGGAGAGGGUGGCGGAAUUCCCCAAGUAGAGGUGAAAUUCGUAGAUAUGGGGAGGAACACCGGUGGCGAAGGCGGCCACCUGGACGGUCACUGACGCUGAGACGCGAAAGCGUGGGUAGCAAACAGG